UACGUAGGGUGCAAGCGUUAAUCGGAAUUACUGGGCGUAAAGCGUGCGCAGGCGGUUAUAUAAGACAGUUGUGAAAUCCCCGGGCUCAACCUGGGAACUGCAUCUGUGACUGUAUAGCUAGAGUACGGUAGAGGGGGAUGGAAUUCCGCGUGUAGCAGUGAAAUGCGUAGAUAUGUGGAGGAACACCGAUGGCGAAGGCAGCCCCCCUGGGUCAAAACUGACGCUCAUGCACGAAAGCGUGGGGAGCAAACAGG
rnacentral:rRNA from 1 species